rnacentral:lncRNA from 1 species
GGGGAAAGCGACUGCACUGGUCGCCGCGGCGGCGGCGGCGGCUCCGGCAGCGCCCAGGACUGUGCCCCGCCGGACCCAGAUGCCCCGGGAAGCCGACAGUCAGGCUGCCCGCCGGAGCUCACAGGCGGCGGCGGCGCGGCAGCGGCGGUGGCGGCGGCGGCGGCGGCGGCGGUGGCGCUUGGCAGGCAACCCACUAGUGGACGCUUUGCUUGAUGAAGACCAAGAGUUCUGACGCGUUCAGAGGCUGUUGGGAGAGAACAGAAAAGUAAGCAGAGGACCAUAACCCACAUGCCAAUGCCACGAUGACGUAUGUCAGUGUGUCGGGGUCCAAAAGGGCUCCCCAAGAAAGGUCAGUGCUCAAGAAGAGAGAGCUGAAAGGUCAUUAGGUCAUUAGUCCCCAAACCAAAGGAGUGAGGACUGCUCCCUGGGCUUGGUGACAUUUGUCCUAUGGAGAAAGGGAUAGAAUCUGCCUGAAAUGUGGG